rnacentral:rRNA from 1 species
UAACAAGGAUUCCCCUAGUAACGGCGAGUGAAGCGGGAAGAGCUCAAAUUUGUAAUCUGGCGGUCUACGGCCGUCCGAGUUGUAAUCUGGAGAAGCGUUUUCGGCGCCGGUCCGCGUACAAGUCCCCUGGAACGGGGCGUCGCAGAGGGUGAGAAUCCCGUCUUUGACGCGGUCCGCCGGUGCCGUGCGAUGCGCUCUCGAAGAGUCGAGUUGUUUGGGAAUGCAGCUCAAAACGGGUGGUAAAUUCCAUCUAAAGCUAAAUACUGGCGAAAGACCGAUAGCGAACAAGUACCGUGAGGGAAAGAUGAAAAGCACUUUGGAAAGAGAGUCAAACAGUACGUGAAAUUGUUGAAAGGGAAACGCUUGAAGUCAGUCGCGUCUCUCGGGACUCAGCCGAGGAAACCCUUCUCGGUGCAUUUCCCGAGUCUGGACGGGCCAGCAUCGGUUUCGACCGUCGUAAAAAGGCUUGAGGAACGUGGCACCCUCGGGUGUGUUAUAGCCUCUCGUCGUAUGCGACGGACGGGACCGAGGAACGCAGCGCGCCCCUCGCGGGGCCGGGGUUCGCCCACGUAACGCGCUUAGGAUGCUGGCGUAAUGGCUUUAAGCGACCCGUCUU